rnacentral:rRNA from 1 species
GACGAACGCUGGCGGCGUGCCUAAUACAUGCAAGUAGAACGCUGAAGAGAGGAGCUUGCUCUUCUUGGCUGAGUUGCGAACGGGUGAGUAACGCGUAGGUAACCUGCCUUGUAGCGGGGGAUAACUAUUGGAAACGAUAGCUAAUACCGCAUAACAAUGGAUGACACAUGUCAUUUAUUUGAAAGGGGCAAUUGCUCCACUACAAGAUGGACCUGCGUUGUAUUAGCUAGUAGGUGAGGUAAUGGCUCACCUAGGCGACGAUACAUAGCCGACCUGAGAGGGUGAUCGGCCACACUGGGACUGAGACACGGCCCAGACUCCUACGGGAGGCAGCAGUAGGGAAUCUUCGGCAAUGGGGGCAACCCUGACCGAGCAACGCCGCGUGAGUGAAGAAGGGUUUCGGAUCGUAAAGCUCUGUUGUAAGUCAAGAACGGGUGUGAGAGUGGAAAGUUCACACUGUGACGGUAGCUGACCAGAAAGGGACGGCUAACUACGUG